GACGAACGCUGGCGGCGUGCUUAACACAUGCAAGUCGAACGAAGUGGCGAACGGGUGAGUAACGCGUAAUCAACCUGCCCUUCAGAGGGGGACAACAGUUGGAAACGACUGCUAAUACCGCAUACUGAAGGAGGGGAUUGCGUCGGAUUAGCUAGUUGGAGGGGUAACGGCCCACCAAGGCGAUGAACAGUAGCCGGUCGGAGAGGAGGAACGGCCACAUUUGGCCUUGGAAACGGCCCAGACUCAUACGGGAGGCAGCGGGGGGGAAUCUUCCGCAAUUGACGAAAGUCUGACGGAGCAACGCCGCGUGAGUGAUGACGGCCUUCGUGUUGUAAAGCUCUGUUAAUCGGGACGCGGUACCGGAAUAGAAAGCCACGGCUAACUACGUGCCAGCAGUCGCGGUAAUAC
rnacentral:rRNA from 1 species